AUUGGGGCCAGCUCUAGCCCGAAAUAGUUGUCUUUCACACUCCUCCACAUUAAAUGUAGGGGUGAAGUGAGAAUGUCGGAGGUCUGCGCAGCUACGGGAUCCGCCGCCCCACGCAUCCUUUCUGAAUGCUUGGACCAGGCAGCCCAAGUCACCUGUGGACAGAUGUAGAUCACUGAAAAGGACCUGAUAUUGAGCUGAAACCAGCCUUUCUGGAGCUACCACCUUGUGGAGACAAAUGGAAAUCCCUCACCUACGACCUUGAGCAGGGAAUUUAUGAGUUUAAAGUCCAAGAAGGUCCCCUAGGAAAGCACCACGGGGCCCUAAAGAGCAAAGAGAGAAGGCAGCCUGAGUCCACAGAGCUGAAACUUCACUCUCAGAGACCUCCAACCAGCUCAACUGAGAAUGGUACUAUUGGGGCAGGAGGUGCCUGAAUGAGAAAAAAGUGAGUGGCUCAAUAAGGCCUUGUUCUUCAGGUCUGUUUCAUCUGAUCUGUGGCGGUCACUGUCCCGAGGUCAGCUCCAGCUUUGACAUUGGAGUCCUUGGUCGCCCCCCG
ensembl:lncRNA